GAGGGUAUAGCUCAGUGGUAGAGUGCAUGCUUAGCAUGCACAAGGCCCUAGGUUCAAUCCACAGUACCUCCA
rnacentral:tRNA from 1 species